AGUGAACGCUGGCGGUAGGCCUAACACAUGCAAGUCGAACGGCAGCACAGUAAGAGCUUGCUCUUACGGGUGGCGAGUGGCGGACGGGUGAGGAAUACAUCGGAAUCUACUUUUUCGUGGGGGAUAACGUAGGGAAACUUACGCUAAUACCGCAUACGACCUACGGGUGAAAGCAGGGGAUCUUCGGACCUUGCGCGAUUGAAUGAGCCGAUGUCGGAUUAGCUAGUUGGCGGGGUAAAGGCCCACCAAGGCGACGAUCCGUAGCUGGUCUGAGAGGAUGAUCAGCCACACGGGAACUGAGACACGGUCCAGACUCCUACGGGAGGCAGCAGUGGGGAAUAUUGGACAAUGGGGGCAAGCCUGAUCCAGCCAUACCGCGUGGGUGAAGAAGGCCUUCGGGUUGUAAAGCCCUUUUGUUGGGAAAGAAAAGCAGCAGGUUAAUACCCCGCUGUUCUGGCGGUACCCAAAGAAUAAGCACCGGCUAACUUCGUG
rnacentral:rRNA from 1 species